rnacentral:rRNA from 1 species
GUCUCUGCGCCGACAAUGUAACGGGGCUAAGUUAUAAACCGAAGCUGUGGAAUCCGUAAGGAUUGGUAGGAGAGCGUUCUGUAGGCCGUUGAAGGAGAAGGGUAACCGACUCUGGAGGUAUCAGAAGUGAGAAUGCAGGAAUAAGUAGCGAGAAAGGGGGCGAGAAUCCCCCUCGCCGGAAGACCAAGGUUUUCAGGGUAAAGCUUGUCUUCCCUGAGUAAGCCGGGACCUAAGCCCAGGCUAUAAUGCGUAGGCGAAUGGAAAACAGAUUAAUAUUUCUGUGCCAGUCAUAUAUUGUGAUGGAGGGACGCAGAAGGGUAUGCGCGCGGACGAACGGAAGUGUCCGUAGAAGUAUGUAGGAUGACUUGAUAGGAAAAUCCAUUGAGUUAUAUCUGAGGUAUGAUAUACAGUCGUAAGAUGAAUGUGCAAAUCCCACGCUGCCAAGAAAAGCUUCUAACGUUAAUAUUUGACUGCCCGUACUGCAAACCGACACAGGUGGUCAGGAUGAGAAAUCUAAGGCGGACAGGCUAACUCUCGUUAAGGAACUCUGCAAAAUAACCUCGUAACUUCGGGAGAAGAGGAGCCCUUGAGGGUCAGUAUCCACGCGAUACAAAGCGCUCGAGGGUCGCAGUGAAGAGGCUCAAGCAACUGUUUAACAAAAACACAGGUCUAUGCUAAGCUGGAAGGCGAUGUAUAUGGGCUGACACCUGCCCAGUGCUGGAAGGUUAAGAGGAGGAGUGAGAGCUCCGAAUUGAAGCCCCAGUGAACGGCGGCCGUAACUAUAACGGUCCUAAGGUAGCGAAAUUCCUUGUCGGGUAAGUUCCGACCUGCACGAAUGGUGUAAUGAUUUGAGCGCUGUCUUGACGGGAGGCCUGGUGAAAUUGUAUUACCGGUGAAGAUACCGGUUACCUACAGUAGGACGGAAAGACCCCAUGGAGCUUUACUGUAGCUUGGUAUUGGGUUUUGGCAUUGCAUGUAUAGGAUAGUUGGGAGACUGAGAUGAUAUGGCGCUAGCUGUAUCGGAGUCAUCGGUGGAAUACCAACCAUUCAAUGCUGAAAUUCUAAUCUGUGGUUUGUAGCCACGGAGACAGUGCUAGGUGGGCAGUUUGACUGGGGCGGUCGCCUCCGAAAGAGUAACGGAGGCGUUCAAAGGUUCUCUCAGGUUGGAUGGAAAUCAACCAUAGAGUGCAAUGGCAUAAGAGAGCUUGACUGCAAGACUGACGGGUCGAGCAGAUGCGAAAGCAGGACAUAGUGAUCCGGCGAUUCCGAAUGGAAGGGUCGUCGCUCAACGGAUAAAAGCUACCCUGGGGAUAACAGGCUGAUCCUACCCGAGAGUCCAUAUCGACGGUAGGGUUUGGCACCUCGAUGUCGGCUCAUCGCAUCCUGGGGCUGGAGAAGGUCCCAAGGGUUGGGCUGUUCGCCCAUUAAAGCGGUACGUGAGCUGGGUUCAGAACGUCGUGAGACAGUUCGGUCCCUAUCCACUGUAGGCGUUAGAAUAUUGAGAAGACCUGUCCUUAGUACGAGAGGACCGGGAUGGACAAACCUCUGAUGUACCAGUUGUCACGCCAGUGGCACAGCUGGGUAGUCACGUUUGGAAUAGAUAACCGCUGAAAGCAUCUAAGCGGGAAACUAACUUCAAGAUAAGUAUUCUUUAAGAUACCUUCGAGCCUAGGAGGUUGAUAGGUUGGGGGUGUAAGU